AAUGAACGUUGGCGGCAUGGAUUAGGCAUGCAAGUCGGGGGAAUCCCAGCAAUGGGGGAACCGGCGUAAGGGGCAGUAAGGCAUGGGUACCUACCUUGGGGUUCGGGAUAGCCAUCAGAGAUGGUGGGUAAUACCGGAUGACGUCGUGAGACCAAAGAUUUAUCGCCCUUAGAGGGGCCCAUGUGAUAUUAGCUAGUUGGUGGGGUAACGGCCCACCAAGGCGAAGAUGUCUAGCGGGUGUGAGAGCACGACCCGCGCCACUCGCACUGAGACACUGGCGCGACACCUACGGGUGGCUUCAGUCGAGGAUCUUCGGCAAGGAGCGCAAGCUUGACCGAGCGAUGCCGCGUGAGCGAUGAAGGCCUUCGGGUUGUAAAGCUCUUUAGUGGGGGAGAAAAGCCGCAAGGUGUGAUCUAUCCCAAAAAUAAGCACGGGCUAAGUUCGUGCCAGCAGCCGCCGUAA
rnacentral:rRNA from 1 species